rnacentral:rRNA from 1 species
AUUGAACGCUGGCGGCAUGCCUUACACAUGCAAGUCGAGCGGCAGCGCGGGGGCAACCCUGGCGGCGAGCGGCGGACGGGUGAGUAAUACAUCGGAACGUGUCCUUUCGUGGGGGAUAACCAGUCGAAAGACUGGCUAAUACCGCAUGAGAUCUCACGAUGAAAGCGAGGGACCCGAGGGUAACUUCGGGCCUCGCGCGAUUGGAGCGGCCGAUGUCGGAUUAGCUAGUUGGCGGGGGUAAAAGCCCACCAAGGCGACGAUCCGUAGCUGGUUUGAGAGAACGACCAGCCACACUGGGACUGAGACACGGCCCAGACUCCUACGGGAGGCAGCAGUGGGGAAUUUUGGACAAUGGGGGCAACCCUGAUCCAGCCAUGCCGCGUGUGUGAAGAAGGCC